rnacentral:lncRNA from 1 species
AAGCAAUCCUUCUACCUCGGCCUCUUGAGUAUCUGGGACUAUAGGUGCAUGCUAAUUAGUUUUGUUGUUGUUGCUGUUGUUGUUGUUUUGUUCUUUCUGUAGAGAUGGUGUCUCGCCACCUUACCCAGGCUGGUCUCAAACUCCUGUGCUUAAGCAAUCUUCCCGCCUCGGCCUCCCAAAGUGCUGAGAUUACAGGCAUGAGUCACUGCACCCAGACCAAAACAAUUUUGAAAAAGAAAA